AACGCGAAGAACCUUACCAAGGCUUGACAUACACCGGAAACGGCUAGAGAUAGUCGCCCCGCAAGGUCGGUGUACAGGUGGUGCAUGGUUGUCGUCAGCUCGUGUCGUGAGAUGUUGGGUUAAGUCCCGCAACGAGCGCAACCCUCGUUCUAUGUUGCCAGCGCGUAAUGGCGGGAACUCAUAGGAGACUGCCGGGGUCAACUCGGAGGAAGGUGGGGAUGACGUCAAAUCAUCAUGCCCCUUAUGUCUUGGGCUUCACGCAUGCUACAAUGGCCGGCACAAAGGGCUGCGAUACCGUAAGGUGGAGCGAAUCCCAAAAAACCGGUCUCAGUUCGGAUUGAGGUCUGCAACUCGACCUCAUGAAGUCGGAGUCGCUAGUAAUCGCAGAUCAGCAACGCUGCGGUGAAUGCGUUCCCGGGCCUUGUACACACCGCUAGUC
rnacentral:rRNA from 1 species